UCAUCUAACUCUUCCUAACCUCACAAAGUUUUCUUUCUACGGAAUUGUAACUUUUUCUGAUCAAUACUGACUUGGUGCCACUGAACCAAUAUGUGGAAAUGAGUGCCAGAUUGUUUCCUCCAGGCAAAUGGUAUUGCAACAAUAAUAUAAUGGGUCUUAGGGCAAUCUAGGGGUUCUUAUUUGUACUACUACCAGCCAAAAAAGUACCGCAGUGUAACUGGUAUUUCGAGCACUGGGGACAAGGUACCAUGGUCACCGUCACCUCAGCAACCCUGCAUGCUCCAUCAGUGUUUCCCUUGAGGCCCUGCUGUGGAUCUUCGAGCUCCGACUCUCACGUCACCAUUGGUUGUUUGUCUACUGGAUUCCUUCCUGCACCAGUAGAUGUCAAAUGGAACUCAGGAAGCAUAACAAGUGGAUUAAAGAACUUUCCAGCUGUUCUGCAGCAAAGUGGCCUCUUUGCAUCCAGCAGCCAACUCACCAUCCCUCUGUCUGACUGGAAGGCCAAAAAAUCCUUUGAGUGUAAUGUGGAACACAAACCAACCAGUACCAAAGUCACUCAAAAGAUAGAAUGCCAAGAUGAACCUGAACCAAUUGAACCAACUGUGGAGAUUUUGCAAGGACCUUGUGCUUCUUCUAAAUCAGUUGAAUUGCUCUGUCUUAUCACUGGAUAUGCUCCCUCAGAAAUCAAAGUGCACUGGCUGCUCAAUGGCCAGGUCACAAAUAUUUCUCCGUCCAACAGCAAACCCUGUAAGGAAGAGAAUGGGACAUUUUCCUCCAGAAGUAAAGUGUCUGUUCCAAAGGAAGACUGGAAUUCCGGAGAUUCCUACACUUGCAAGGUCACCCACCCUGCUUCCCACACUAAGACUGAAGCCAGCACCAAAAAAUGUGAUGAAACAGCCAUAACUCCAAAGGUAGAUGUUCUUCCUCCAUCUCCCAAAGAUCUGCUUGUUACCAAAGAAGCCAAAGUGUACUGUGUGAUCUCCAGGAUGGCAAGUACAGACGACUUAACUGUGCAAUGGUCACGUAGUGAUGGCAAGAAAGCCCUUGCAUUUGAUUCAGCCCCGGAAAAAGCAUAUGAUGGAACAUUCACUGUAAAAAGCACUUUGAAAAUAAGUCCUGGGGACUGGGAAAACAAAAAACAAUUUAACUGCAAAGUUGUACACCCUGAUCUUCCAUCACCAAUAGAAAAGUCAAUACAAAAAAGUCAAGAUCCAGGAACAGAACCAACAAUCACCUUGCUGCCACCUUCAGAUGAUGAACUUAGAAAUGAUUUUAUAAGUCUUAUCUGCAUGCUGAAAAACUUCAGACCCCAAGAUAUCUAUGUAUUUUGGAAAAAAGAUGGUGUUACUCUAGAGGAAGACUACUACAUGACUACUACUCCUGUUUUGGAAGAAGAAGAAGAGGGUUUCAUCUCAUUUAGUAAACUCACCAUCGCUAGAUCAGACUGGAUGAGAGGAGCUACUUAUAGCUGCAUUGCUGCACACAACACGAUCAGUCAGAGAGACAUCAAGAAAAAUAGGGGUAAAUGAGUCUUGAAUUCUGUGUUCGUAAUUCUCUGCUUUUUGUAUUAUCUGUAUCCAUCUAUCACAUAGUUUUAUGUCUUCUCAGUUUGGUGUGUGGAACAUCAAACCAUCGUUUUUCAUGGUAAAAAGAUCUCCUCAAUCACUAAUUUGAGAAGAGUCUAUUUAUGUGGUACAAUGCCCUCUAACCUAAAAUACAUCUGUCUGCAUCUGGUUGUAUUGGAGCCUUGAGGCUAUUGUAAUGCGUAAAUAGGCAUAAAAGUACACAAAGGUUAAUAAUGUCAUUUACCACAGUCUUGGAAAUAUCCUGUCCAGUUUAGGUUUUAAUAAUCAUAGUGCCAUUUUUGUCAAUAUAUGCCUGAUCUGUGUGUCAGUCUGGUGUGUGGAACACCAGACUUCUUGUCUGUCAACUUAUGUGUGCUCUUGUUUCAAUAAAUUUGUGUUUAUGUUUAUCACUAA